UACGUAGGGUGCGAGCGUUGUCCGGAAUUACUGGGCGUAAAGAGCUCGUAGGUGGUUUGUCGCGUUGUUCGUGAAAACUCACAACUCAAUUGUGGGCGUGCGGGCGAUACGGGCAGACUGGAGUACUGCAGGGGAGACUGGAAUUCCUGGUGUAGCGGUGGAAUGCGCAGAUAUCAGGAGGAACACCGGUGGCGAAGGCGGGUCUCUGGGCAUUAACUGACGCUGAGGAGCGAAAGCAUGGGGAGCGAACAGG
rnacentral:rRNA from 1 species